GGUUGACCUCGGAUCAGGUAGGGAUACCCGCUGAACUUAAGCAUAUCAAUAAGCGGAGGAAAAGAAACCAACCGGGAUUGCCUCAGUAACGGCGAGUGAAGCGGCAACAGCUCAAAUUUGAAAUCUGGCCCCGUGCGGGGUCCGAGUUGUAAUUUGUAGAGGGUGUUUCGGGUGCGGUACCGGCCUAAGUUCCUUGGAACAGGACGUCAUAGAGGGUGAGAAUCCCGUCUGCGCGCCGGCUGCCAACCCCGGGUGAAACCCCUUCGACGAGUCGAGUUGUUUGGGAAUGCAGCUCAAAAUGGGUGGUAAAUUUCAUCUAAAGCUAAAUACCGGCCAGAGACCGAUAGCGCACAAGUAGAGUGAUCGAAAGAUGAAAAGCACUUUGGAAAGAGAGUUAAAAAGUACGUGAAAUUGUUGAAAGGGAAGCGCUUGCGACCAGACCUGUCCCCGGGUGAUCAUCCGUGAUUCGUCGCGGUGCACUCGCCCGGACGCAGGCCAGCAUCGGUUUGGGCGGCGGGACAAAGUGCCCGGGAAUGUAUCUCCCUUGGGGAGCCUUAUAGCCCGGGUUGCCAUGCCGCCCGCCCGGACCGAGGACCGCGCUUCGGCUAGGAUGCUGGCGUAAUGGUUGUAAGCGACCCGUCUUGAAACACGGACCAAGGAGUCUACCAUCUAUGCGAGUGUUUGGGUGUCAAACCCGGGCGCGGAAUGAAAGUGAACGGAGGUGAGACCCCGUCAGGGCGCAUCAUCGACCGAUCCAGAUGUCUUCGGAUGGAUUUGAGUACGAGCAUGGCUGGUGGGACCCGAAAGAUGAUGAACUAUGCCUGAAUAGGGUGAAGCCAGAGGAAACUCUGGUGGAGGCUCGCAGCGGUUCUGACGUGCAAAUCGAUCGUCGAAUUUGGGUAUAGGGGCGAAAG
rnacentral:rRNA from 1 species